rnacentral:rRNA from 1 species
GGGGGGAAUAUUGCACAAUGGAGGAAACUCUGAUGCAGCGAUGCCGCGUGAGGGAAGAAGGUUUUAGGAUUGUAAACCUCUGUCUUCAGGGACGAAAAAAGACGGUACCUGAGGAGGAAGCUCCGGCUAACUACGUGCCAGCAGCCGCGGUAAUACGUAGGGAGCGAGCGUUGUCCGGAAUUACUGGGUGUAAAGGGAGCGUAGGCGGGAUCGCAAGUCAGAUGUGAAAACUAUGGGCUUAACCCAUAAACUGCAUUUGAAGCUGUGGUUCUUGAGUGAAGUAGAGGUAAGCGGAAGUCCUAGUGUAGCGGUGAAAUGCGUAGAUAUUAGGAGGAACAUCAGUGGCGAAGGCGGCUUACUGGGCUUUAACUGACGCUGAGGCUCGAAAGCGUGGGGAGCAAACAGGAUUAGAAACCCUUGUAGUCC